UCGGUCAGGAAGCCGCGCAGCAGCCAUGGCUUUUAAGGAUACCGGAAAAACACCCGUGGAAGCGGAGGUGGCAAUUCACCGAUUUCGAAUCACCCUAACGAGCCGCAACGUUAAAUCCCUGGAAAAGGUGUGUGCUGGCUUGAUCAGAGGCGCAAAGGAAAAGAACCUGAAAGUGAAAGGACCAGUUCGAAUGCCUACCAAGACUUUGAGAAUCACUACAAGAAAAACUCCUUGAGGUGAAGGUUCUAAGACGUGGGAUCGUUUCCAGAUGAGAAUCCACAAGCGACUCAUUGACUUGCACAGUCCUUCUGAGAUUGUUAAGCAGAUUACUUCCAUCAGUAUUGAGCCAGGAGUUGAGGUGGAAGUCACCAUUGCAGAUGCUUAAGUCAAUUAUUUUAAUAAAUUGAUUACCAGUUGUUAAAAAAA